rnacentral:rRNA from 1 species
GAUGAACGCUGGCGGCGUGCCUAAUACAUGCGAGUCGAGCGAACGGACGAGAAGCUUGCUUCUCUGAUGUUAGCGGCGGACGGGUGAGUAACACGUGGAUAACCUACCUAUAAGACUGGGAUAACUUCGGGAAACCGGAGCUAAUACCGGAUAAUAUUUUGAACCGCAUGGUUCAAAAGUGAAAGACGGUCUUGCUGUCACUUAUAGAUGGAUCCGCGCUGCAUUAGCUAGUUGGUAAGGUAACGGCUUACCAAGGCAACGAUGCAUAGCCGACCUGAGAGGGGGAUCGGCCACACUGGAACUGAGACACGGUCCAGACUCCUACGGGAGGCAGCAGUAGGGAAUCUUCCGCAAUGGGCGAAAGCCUGACGGAGCAACGCCGCGUGAGUGAUGAAGGUCUUCGGAUCGUAAAACUCUGUUAUUAGGGAAGAACAUAUGUGUAAGUAACUGUGCACAUCUUGACGGUACCUAAUCAGAAAGCCACGGCUAACUACGUG